UACAGAGGGUGCGAGCGUUGUCCGGAAUCACUGGGCGUAAAGGGCGCGUAGGUGGCGCUGCGAGUCGGUGGUGAAAGCUCGACGCUUAACGUCGAGUCGGCCAUCGAAACUGCAGGGCUCGAGCACUGUAGGGGCAGAUGGAAUUCCGGGUGUAGCGGUGGAAUGCGUAGAGAUCCGGAAGAACACCGGUGGCGAAGGCGGUCUGCUGGGCAGUAGCUGACACUGAUGCGCGACAGCGUGGGGAGCAAACAGG
rnacentral:rRNA from 1 species